UACGGGGGGAGCAAGCGUUGUUCGGAUUUACUGGGCGUAAAGGGCGCGUAGGCGGUCAGCACAAGUCAGUUGUGAAAUCUCCGGGCUUAACUCGGAAAGGUCGACUGAUACUGUGCGACUAGAGUGCAGAAGGGGCAACUGGAAUUCUCGGUGUAGCGGAUGAAAUGCGUAGAUAUCGAGAGGAACACCUGCGGCGAAGGCGGGUUGCUGGGCUGACACUGACGCUGAUGCGCGAAAGCCAGGGGAGCGAACGGG
rnacentral:rRNA from 1 species